UACGUAGGGGGCAAGCGUUGUCCGGAAUCAUUGGGCGUAAAGCGCGUGUAGGCGGCUCGGUAAGUCCGCUGUGAAAGUCCAGGGCUCAACCCUGGGAUGCCGGUGGAUACUGUCGGGCUCGAGUCCGGAAGAGGAGUGUGGAAUUCCUGGUGUAGCGGUGAAAUGCGCAGAUAUCAGGAGGAACACCGGUGGCGAAGGCGGUUCUCUGG
rnacentral:rRNA from 1 species